CCUACGGGAGGCAGCAGUGAGGAAUAUUGGUCAAUGGGCGGAAGUCUGAACCAGCCAAGUCGCGUGAGGGAAUAAGGCCUUACGGGUCGUAAACCUCUUUUGCCGGGGAGCAAGGGCGGGGACGUGUCCAGACACGGAGAGUACCCGGAGAAAAAGCAUCGGCGAACACCGGGACAGCAGCCGCGGUAAUACGGAGGAUGCGAGCGUUAUCCGGAUUUAUUGGGUUUAAAGGGUGCGUAGGCGGUUUGAUAAGUUAGAGGUGAAAUGUCGGGGCUCAACCCCGAAACUGCCUCUAAUACUGUUGGACUAGAGAAUAGUUGCGGUAGGCGGAAUGUAUGGUGUAGCGGUGAAAUGCUUAGAGAUCAUACAGAACACCGAUUGCGAAGGCAGCUUACCAAACUAUAUCUGACGUUGAGGCACGAAAGCGUGGGUAGCAAACAGGAUUAGAUACCCCUGUAGUC
rnacentral:rRNA from 1 species